CUGCUGUAAGGUCCUCAUGAUUCAAGACAGAAAAGGGCUGGAAGCCCAGCACUUUCUGAUGUUUAAAAGCAUUUUAAUCAGAGCAGCUGUACUGAAUGGGUAAAUGGCAGCAGGGAGCCCUUCACAGCUGCUGGAGAUUUUGGGCCUGCCCUUUACAUGGGCAAAAUGUGUCUUCUGUGCUUCUUGCUUGUGUGCUGCAAACCCUGUACAACACCAGGAUUUCCAUGGAGAUGGAGGCAUUGCAUAUUGUCGAGUGCCACACCUCCAGGUUUCCUGAACACCUCCAGGGACAGUGACUCCUCCACCACCACCCUGGGCAGAAAGUUCCAAUGCCUCACCACUCUUACUGAGAAGAAAGCAUUGCUAAUACACAACCUGAACUUCCCCUGGAGCAACUUAAAAG
rnacentral:lncRNA from 1 species